rfam:Frateuria aurantia DSM 6220, complete genome.
CCUGGCGGCUAUAGCGCUGUGGUCCCACCCGAUCCCAUCCCGAACUCGGAAGUGAAACGCAGUUGCGCCGAUGGUAGUGUAGCUUGCUAUGCAAGAGUAGGUCACCGCCAGGG